AGCUUUGUGCACUGGCAAUAUCAUAGCCAAUGAGGUUUAUCUGAGGUACGGUUAUUGCUAAUUGAAAACUUUUCCUAAUACCCUGCCCUGACGACUUGCAAAAUUCCUCAGGAAUGGAUUCUGACAACUUCUUUUUUCUUAUGUAUGAAC
rnacentral:snRNA from 1 species